GUGGAGUUUUCUGAGAACAUCUGCAUUCACCAUUCAUGGGCUACUUUUGGAUGUGCUUGACUGCAUUGUGGAUAGGCACCCUGCAAGAUGAAAUGUGGGACUCUGUGGCAGUAGCUCUGACUGAAGUGUGUGAUCUUGAAUUCGGAUCUUAUAAAAGCCAUCUAAACCUCUCCUAAGUGUCACCAUAGAAAAUGCUGCAGGAAUGAACAUUUCAAGUCUACAGGCAGGAACAGACCUGGUCUGGGGGUCAAUACCUACCUGCGGUGAGCUGUUAAAGAAAUUAUAAUACCUAGACCUGAAACAUGAUUAUACAGUUCUAAAUAAGUACUAUAAAGAUUUUACGAUGAAAUUCGUAGAAAAAGAAAAGAAGGCAUGGAAUGGACCCCAAAUUGAAACUACACCCAAAGUACACCCUUGCACACUGUCAGCUAGCUGGACUAAAGGCCAGCAUGGUUAAAAGAUCUUGUAAUCUCAUUUUGUUACUGCAGACACCCUGAGAGGAGCCUGAACACCUUGCUGUGCAUCAGUUUACUCCCUUGGGUCUUUGCCAGAUGAUACAGAAGACACACCGAAGCCUGCAGCAAUUCAUCUGAGGAUCCUGGCCAAUUUGUUUUUCUAGAAGAGCUAUCACUGGCAUAUACUAUGUGCUCUCACAUGGCUCUAAAGCAUACAGUUCCUUGCCAAACACAGUGAUGGCUGUUUCUAACCAAUAAAUGACGUGAUCUUUGAAGUACUCUCUCUAACUGAAGGAGAAAGCACAGAAAUCCAAUUUAAACAUGCUUCAAGAGUGGUCUGAUGGGACUCUGGGUGUCGGGUGGCUGUUUUUGUGCCCAAGGAACAGUGGGCUUCAUGCAGGCUGAAAAUUGUCUUUGCUACAUGCUUGGGACAUGCCUAGAAAGCUGGAUUCUGCUUUUAGAUGGCACCUGCAAGUUCCAGCCUAGCACAAUGAGCAUCUGGCACACCUCAGUUUGACACUAGUGCUUGCUCUAUAAAUAGAGGAGCACUGGGAUUCAAUGACUGGAUCUGCAAGGAAACACACAGCCACUCUGUCCACAGCAUGUUCUGACCAGGCUAUUGUUACAUCUCCUUGUUAAUGAAGAGAUAUUCAUUGACUACUAGUCCAGUUGUCACACAGUGUUUCAGGGGCACAUGCAGAAAGUGUUAAAACAGUAUGUCAUUUUAUGCCCUCUUGUACUCGUGGGUUGUUUUUCUAGCUUUCCGGUACCAAGCACAGUCCCAUGGAGCUUUAUAUCCUGUUUUUCUCCUGCUGCUUCUGGUGUUUGGUAGGCAGUAUAGAUAAUUAGAAACAAACAGCCCAAAACUUGCUUACACAACUUAUCUCCUUUAUGAAAGAAAGUAUUAAGCCCCUUCAUCACUACCACCUUCCAGAGGCUUUGCAUCACUCUUUUCUGUGGCCUUUCAUAUCUGGAAAGUAACAUGCUGCAACUCUGUCUGUGACAGAAUCCAAAGUCUCCCAAAAGCUACUGGACAGAUGAUUAGUUUUGGUACUAAAUCCUUGGUUUCACUUGUCAUUUACACUAUAAAAGACAAAAUAUUGUCAUUUUCUUUCAAAAAAAGUUAUUUUUACAUCAUUCAGCAAUAGUUCUCUGAACACAGCCACAUAAAGCAUGAGCAAGGAAAGUGUCCUCUUUUUUCCCUUUUCUCUUGAACUCCUUCCUAUUAUAGAGCCAGCAAAACCAACCAGGUUUUCUAAUAGAGGCUGAAACGCUCCUGGAAGUUCUGUGCCUGUGUUUCAGUGGUUCACCUUCAGGCUGGGAUCUCCGCAUUCACCAGCAGCUCCUCACUCAGGCACCUGAACCAUUCCCAGCUCUUGGCCAUUUCAGGGCUAAUUCUGUCCUAGCAAGUGUAUAUCAUACCAGUGAUGACAUACCCUGCAAUACUAAGAUCUUGGUUGGGAAAGGGCUGCCAACAGCAGAGCAGGGCCACAGCCAAGUUCAAGGAGAAGACACAGUGUGUUUUGUGCCUCUGCUACUGAUUCGUGCUCCCUAGAGGACACUCUCAGUCAGAGGAACUGGAUAGCCCAGGUCAACCUGUCCUGUGAAAUUUGCAGCCAAGACCAUCACAAGUAGAGGAGUGAGAUUUCCUAACUGCUAGGGGAAAGGAAAAAAAAAAAA